GCUGGGCGUGGUGGCGUGCGCCUGUAACCGAGCUACUACGGAGCAGGUAGUGUCGAAUGACUUGAGGUCGGGACUCCUGUCGUACGUCGACCUAUGUCGAUCGGGUGUCCACACUAAGUUGGGCGUCGAUAUGGUGAACUGAGGGGAACCUUCGUCCACCAGGUUGAAUAAAGAGGAACGUACUGGUCCAGGAUGGAAACAUAGCAGACAAAAGUUCCCGCGUCAAAUAGUAGUGGGGUAGCACUUGUGAAUAGGAGGCGUGCGACAGCCCGGUCAAGAUAGUUGAACCCGCUAU
rnacentral:SRP_RNA from 1 species